AUUAACUGAUGUUUUGUGAAUAUACGUAGAGCUACGUACAGCGAAAAAUGAAGGUAUGACAGGAUCUUGGUUCUUUCUGUGAUAGUUUCAGGUAGCAUAACAUAUGGAUAUUUAUCAAUCCAAGAAAUCAAAUUAUUUCUCAAAGAAAAGAGUAACACGCAUCCUUCUCCAUGGAGUGAAACGGAUGCAAUGCCUGAAGCAUGGUGGCUGAGCCGCACGGGCUCGGCAGGCUGUGAGACUACAGAUCAA